AAUCUGUGAUGUGGGCACUUCCUUAGCAUAGUUUUGAAAUGUUCCCACGCCUCAUACAAGGAUUCACCUUCAAAUUGUUUAAAAUUGGCAAUUUCUUGCCUCAAUU
rfam:Gossypium raimondii Chr10_contig_1036, whole genome shotgun sequence.